GCCAGCAGCAUACCACCCUGCAUCCCACUGCUGGCUUGCCUCUGAAGCUAAGCAGGAUUGGUCCUGGAUGGUCCCUGGAUAAGAGACCAGAUGCUGCUGGAA
rnacentral:rRNA from 1 species